rnacentral:rRNA from 1 species
AAUUUGGCCUGCCCCCUGAUCGUAAGGUAUUAAAGGGCCGCAGUAUUAUAACUGUGCAAAGGUAGCAUAGUCAUUAGGUUUUUAAUUAGAAUCUUGUAUGAAUGGUUGGACAAAAGAAAGACUCUCUUUAUAUUAAUGUUGAAUUUAACUUUUAAGUGAGAAGGCUUAAAUAAACUAAGGGGACGAUAAGACCCUAUAAAACUUUAUAUUAUAAUUAUAUUUUAACGAAUUUGUAUUAAAUAAAGAUUUAGUUUAAUUAUUAUAUUGUGUUGGGGAGACAUAAGUAAAAUAUUAUUUUAACUGCUUGAAAUUUAUACAAUUAUUUGUGAGUAGUAAAAGAUCCUUUUUAAAGAUUAAUAGAUUAAGUUACUUUAGGGAUAACAGCGUAAUUUCUUUUGAGAGUUCUUAUCGAUAAAGAAGGUUGCGACCUCGAUGUUGAAUUAAAAAAUCUAUAUAAUGAAGAAGUUAUAUAAGAAGGUCUGUUCGACCUUUAAAAUUUU